rnacentral:rRNA from 1 species
ACACAUGCAAGUCGAACGGUGAAGCCCAGCUUGCUGGGUGGAUCAGUGGCGAACGGGUGAGUAACACGUGAGCAACCUGCCCCCUACUUCGGGAUAAGCCUUGGAAACGAGGUCUAAUACCGGAUAUGAACACUUGUCGCAUGGCGGGUGUUGGAAAGUUUUUCGGUGGGGGAUGGGCUCGCGGCCUAUCAGCUUGUUGGUGGGGUAAUGGCCUACCAAGGCGUCGACGGGUAGCCGGCCUGAGAGGGCGACCGGCCACACUGGGACUGAGACACGGCCCAGACUCCUACGGGAGGCAGCAGUGGGGAAUAUUGCACAAUGGGCGAAAGCCUGAUGCAGCGACGCCACGUGAGGGAUGACGGCCUUCGGGUUGUAAACCUCUUUCAGCAGGGAAGAAGCGAAAGUGACGGUACCUGCAGAAGAAGCGCCGGCUAACUACGUGCCAGCAGCCGCGGUAAUACGUAGGGCGCAAGCGUUGUCCGGAAUUAUUGGGCGUAAAGAGCUCGUAGGCGGUCUGUCGCGUCUGGUGUGAAAUCCCAUGGCUCAACUGUGGGCUUGCAUCGGGUACGGGCAGACUAGAGUGCUGUAGGGGAGACUGGAAUUCCUGGUGUAGCGGUGGAAUGCGCAGAUAUCAGGAGGAACACCGAUGGCGAAGGCAGGUCUCUGGGCAGUUACUGACGCUGAGGAGCGAAAGCAUGGGGAGCGAACAGGAUUAGAUACCCUGGUAGUCCAUGCCGUAAACGUUGGGCACUAGGUGUGGGGCGGGUUCCACUCGUUCUGUGCCGCAGCUAACGCAUUAAGUGCCCCGCCUGGGGAGUACGGCCGCAAGGCUAAAACUCAAAGGAAUUGACGGGGGCCCGCACAAGCGGCGGAGCAUGCGGAUUAAUUCGAUGCAACGCGAAGAACCUUACCAAGGCUUGACAUGUACGAGAAAGCCCCAGAGAUGGGGUUCUCUUUGGACACUCGUACACAGGUGGUGCAUG